AAGGAAGACAAUCACAGAUAUGUAGAGCUUUGCAGUCAGACAACAGAAACAAGGAAGGAAGAACAAAUUAGCAUUGAGUAUCCAACCACUUCAAGGAGAUUUUGGAAGCUUAUUUUGGUGGUUCUUCUAUUCAUCAUUCUCAUAAGCGGACUCGCCACUACAAGUGCGUUAUAUGGUCUCAAGAAAAGUAAACCGGAAGAAAACCAACAAUGUAAAGCUUUGGCUGAGGAUGAAUUUUCAAACGACCAUUGCAGAGGCCAGGAACUAAAAUCAACAAGCCAUAGAAAUAAGGAGUUAGGAAGCAGAGGAUAUAGUUUUUUAGUCAGCUUUAUCCAAAGUCACGACGAUGGAAGUAAAACAAACCGAACAAUCGUUGUAACAUCAGAAACUGAUUUCAAUUUAACAGUCUCACUGCCAGAGACUCAAAGUCCAAAUCUGAUAUCCAUAUCUAGUCGUAGACGUGGGAACAUUACAAUAAAGAAGUUAAAUGUUCACUAUUCUCUUGUUCCUUCUUAUUUUUCCCCUGAAUAUAAAGCUAUUAUCAUCAAAACCUCAGUCCCGUCAUCUGUAUUGACUCACCAAAGUUAUCAAACAUCUUCAGAUACUACAGCCGUAUUUUAAAUCGACAACCUUUCAACAUUUUACAUUAUAUCAACAGCGACACCGGCAAAUUUCAAAUCAGGCAGCGGAAGUCAUUUCACCAUUGCUUCUCUGAAAGAGAACACGCUUGUUACAAUAAAGUUUGCUGCAGAUCAUGACGUAAAAAUAUUACUACAAGAGAGAAUCUAUGGAAGAGGUGACAUAUUCUAUAUCAUUUUGAACAAUUGUCAAACAUUCCAAAUAGGCAUUAAAGCCGACAUGACAGGAACAACUAUUAAUUCUUCAAAUCCUAUCGCUGUCUUUACGGGAAAUAGGUGCAAUUGUGUUGGAUAUUAUGGAAUAUUGUAAUAUGCUUAUAGAAAUGGUACCACCAGCUGACAAACUCGACCAUGUUUUCAUUGUCCCGCCAAAUAUUCAUAGAUACCAAUCGCUUGUACGCAUAUCAACGACUGUUAAAAGUUAUAUCAAAUAUACGACUAAAAAACUCAAAACAAGGACUAUUGUUUUGAAAAA